GGUGGUGCCGCGGCGGGGAGGAGGAGGACAUGCACUCGAUGUCCACGGCGGAGGCGAGCUCCGAGAGCUCCGCCGUGGCGGCCUCCGGCGAGCUUGCCAGGCUAUGGUCGGCCAGGACUUGCUGCGCCCUGCGUAGCACUGACUGCAGGUACCUCCCCUGUGCCUCCAUCCUCAGUUGCAGAUGCCUCUUGACCUGCCAUGGAUAAUGGAUUAAUCAAAACUUGCUUGAUCACUGAUCAGCUAGACGACGACGAGAUGACAAUUGACAAAUGACAACAAUCUCGACGAACUCUGAACUUUUUUUUUUACCUCAAUCUGCUCCUGGAGCUUCCUCUGGACUUCCCUCUGCAUCUGCACCAUGCUCCUGGAUGAAUCACGGAGACCUUC
rnacentral:lncRNA from 1 species